AUUGAACGCUGGCGGCAUGCCUUACACAUGCAAGUCGAACGGUAACAGGUCUUCGGAUGCUGACGAGUGGCGAACGGGUGAGUAAUAUAUCGGAACGUGCCCAGUCGUGGGGGAUAACGCAGCGAAAGCUGUGCUAAUACCGCAUACGAUCUAUGGAUGAAAGCGGGGGAUCGCAAGACCUCGCGCGAUUGGAGCGGCCGAUAUCAGAUUAGGUAGUUGGUGGGGUAAAGGCCCACCAAGCCAACGAUCUGUAGCUGGUCUGAGAGGACGACCAGCCACACUGGAACUGAGACACGGUCCAGACUCCUACGGGAGGCAGCAGUGGGGAAUUUUGGACAAUGGCGCAAGCCUGAUCCAGCAAUGCCGCGUGCAGGAUGAAGGCCUUCGGUUGUAAACUGCUUUGUACGGAACGAAAAGGCUACUGGUUAAUACCUGGGGCUCAUGACGGUACCGUAAGAAUAAGACACCGGCUAACUAACGUGCC
rnacentral:rRNA from 1 species